CGCGGGAUGGAGCAGCAUGGUAGCUCGUCGGGCUCAUAACCCGAAGGUCGUUGGUUCAAAUCCAGCUCCCGCA
rnacentral:tRNA from 1 species